CUUUUGGGUGACAUAUGUCAUUCAGUUCCUGAGACUCAAUGCAAAGAACUCUCCAAAUGGAACAGCUUCACGGGGGAGGUAAAUAACUUGAUCCAGCGUUAGUUCCAAUUAUGGAGGCAAAACAGAGAAAAAUGAGGUUUUCUCAAACUGGAGGCACCGUGAAAAGAUGCAUACUUACGCAUGCACACAGCGCCCACAGUCAAACAUGGGAAAGUUUCGCAGCCUGAGAUCUGAGCGUGCAUGUACAUAAGCAGGACUUUUUGUUCAGUGUUGUCUGUCUCUCUUACAGACUUACAAAUGAAUGGAAGGGUCUGUCUCUAAACCCUUCAUUCUUCACUAUUCACUAUAGCUUUUCCCAAUUUAAUGAUUACAACCAAGAUUUUAAUAUGAUACUCUGGUCUUUCUCACCAUAAGAAUCCCACACACAUUCAUACCUCCCACUGCGACAGCUGAAGAAGCAAGAAUGAGCACAGGCCUAAUAUGAAAUGCUGCAACAGAAAUAUCUGUACAAUAAGGAGAUUGUGGGAUGCUUUUCUGCACACCUUUAUCAUUCCAAUGGUCUGGAGGCUCCGGAUGAUUGAAAACCAACAAGUAAAUAAAGCCGUAUCUAUUACAUACCCAAGUGCCGGGGAAGUAUUCAGCAUUGGGAAGGAGUGUUUAAAUGAUCAUGUGAGGCUAAGUGGUAUUGCAUGGACUGAGUGACUGAAACAACAUUCUAAUCAAAUCUGACAGCUCUAUUGCAUUAUAAUUAUGGACUGCCAGAGGCGUUUUUUAGACUAUCAGUACUUUUGGGAUAGUUUGCAUCUAAAUUAAAAUUGAACUUCAAAGCAGUUUGAUGGGGAUGUGUUUCCAAGGAGUUUCAAAAAUGUGAAAGACACUAACUGAUUAGCAUUAUGCACUG